rnacentral:rRNA from 1 species
UACAGAGACUGCAAGCGUUAUUCGGAUUCACUGGGCGUAAAGGGUGCGCAGGCGGCCGGGUGUGUCAGAUGUGAAAUCCCGAGGCUCAACCUCGGAACUGCGUCUGAAACUACUCGGCUAGAGUACUGGAGAGGGUAACGGAAUUCACGGUGUAGCAGUGAAAUGCGUAGAUAUUGGGAAGAACACCGGUGGCGAAAGCGCUCUGCUGGACCUGCACUGACACUGAGGGACGAAAGCUAGGGGAGCGAAAGGG